UACGUAGGCAGCGAGCGUUGUUCGGAGUUACUGGGCGUAAAGGGUGUGUAGGCGGCUCCCUAAGUUUGGUGUGAAAUCUCCCGGCUCAACCGGGAGGGUGCGCCGAAAACUGGGGGGCUAGAGUGCGGGAUGGGAAAGUGGAAUUCCUGGUGUAGCGGUGAAAUGCAUAGAUAUCAGGAGGAACACCGGUGGUGUAGACGGCUUUCUGGACCGUAACUGACGCUGAGACACGAAAGCGUGGGUAGCAAACAGG
rnacentral:rRNA from 1 species